rnacentral:rRNA from 1 species
UAACACCUGGAAACAGAUGCUAAUACCGGAUAACAACACUAGACGCAUGUCUAGAGUUUAAAAGAUGGUUCUGCUAUCACUCUUGGAUGGACCUGCGGUGCAUUAGCUAGUUGGUAAGGCAACGGCUUACCAAGGCAAUGAUGCAUAGCCGAGUUGAGAGACUGAUCGGCCACAUUGGGACUGAGACACGGCCCAAACUCCUACGGGAGGCAGCAGGC